rnacentral:tRNA from 1 species
GGUGGCUCAGUAGUUAAGAGCUAUGGCUGCUAACCAAAAGGUCGGUGGUUCGAAACCACCAGCCA